rnacentral:rRNA from 1 species
UACAGAGGUCCCAAGCGUUGUUCGGAUUUACUGGGCGUAAAGGGCGCGUAGGCGGUCGUGACAAGUCACUUGUGAAAUCUCCGGGCUUAACUCGGAACGGUCAAGUGAUACUGUCGGACUAGAGUACAGAAGGGGCAACUGGAAUUCUCGGUGUAGCGGUGAAAUGCGUAGAUAUCGAGAGGAACACCUGCGGCGAAGGCGGGUUGCUGGGCUGAUACUGACGCUGAGGCGCGAAAGCGUGGGGAGCAAACAGG